rnacentral:lncRNA from 1 species
ACAAGCCAGAUAUAAUGAAGCCAAGAAAACGCUGACAGAGCUGAAGACUUACAGUGAGAAACUGGACAAAGAGCAAGCAGCCCUCGAGAAGAUAGAAUCCAAAGCUGAUCCAAGUAUCCUACAGAACCUGAGAGCACUUGUAGCCAUGAAUGAAAAUCUGAAAAGUCAAGAACAGGAAUUUAAAGCACAUUGUCGAGAGGAGAUGACACGACUACAGCAAGAAAUUGAAAACCUGAAAGCUGAGAGAGCACCACGUGGAGAUGAAAAGGGAUAAUGCCCCACUCCCAAAAGGCAGCAACAAACAUGAAGAAGGAGAGAGCAGUGUUGGAUUUAACAGAAG